rnacentral:rRNA from 1 species
UACGUAGGCAGCAAGCGUUGUUCGGAAUUACUGGGCGUAAAGAGUGUGUAGGCGGUGCUCCAAGUCUGGUGUGAAAUCUCCCGGCUUAACUGGGAGGGUGCAUUAGAAACUGGAAUGCUAGAGGAUGGGAGAGGUAAGCGGAAUUCCUGGUGUAGCGGUGAAAAUGCGUAGAUAUCAGGAGGAACACCUGUGGUGUAGACAGCUUACUGGACCUUUUCUGCUGAGACACAAAAGCGUGGGGUAGCAAAACAGGG